CAAAUCUUUCCUUCCGCCAUGACGAGUUUUUCUUUCCCUACGUCUCAUGUAUGUACUGGAGUGCCUUCUAGUAUCUGAAGCUGUAUUCAUUCUUCAGAGCGUAUGCUUCCAGCUUAAAUUCCUAACUUUAAAGUGCCAAGGAGUCUACAACCAUCAAGUGCCACAUUUGAGAGUAAUGGAAGAAAUGUUAAUCUUUUUAGAGGAACGAGAGAAUGCGGAGUCAGAAUAUAUACAACAGGU